AUUGAACGCUGGCGGCAUGCCUUACACAUGCAAGUCGAACGGCAGCGGGCCUUCGGGUGCCGGCGAGUGGCGAACGGGUGAGUAAUGCAUCGGAACGUGCCAUUGAGUGGGGGAUAACGUAGCGAAAGUUACGCUAAUACCGCAUAUUCUGUGAGCAGGAAAGCAGGGGACCGCAAGGCCUUGCGCUCUUUGAGCGGCCGAUGUCAGAUUAGCUAGUUGGUGAGGUAAAGGCUUACCAAGGCGACGAUCUGUAGCGGGUCUGAGAGGAUGAUCCGCCACACUGGAACUGAGACACGGUCCAGACUCCUACGGGAGGCAGCAGUGGGGAAUUUUGGGACAAUGGGCGCAAGCCUGAUCCAGCCAUGCCGCGUGAGUGAAGAAGGCCU
rnacentral:rRNA from 1 species